UCCGGCUCCUCUGAGGGCGAGGAGAGCGUGGUGGGCCGAGCAGCAUGGCGGCCGAGGGAGGCGAAGAGCCUGGCGGAGAACCGAAGGCUUUAAAGGCGUUUGGGCCACGGAAGCCCCGCAUUUUGACUUGAGGCCAGAGCAAGUUCCUAAGUAGGUGAUGUCUCCAGGGCUGCUUGGGGCAGGGACUGAAGAUGAGAAGAACGCGAUGAUGCAGUCUGACACAGAGAGGAAGCUGAAUUUCCAUCUAUUGUGGAAGACUUUGGAUUAAGAUAGCUGAUGUUGUGCACAUCACAUGGCUCCAGCUGCCUUGUUUUUAUCUCUGCAGAGGUCCUUUCUCAUCCUGAAAGUUGUCAGAAAUAGGUGCUCUCAAGUUGAACUUUCAGCCUGUCUCACUUCUUGGGAAGAUCUGCCAAAAGGUCUGGCAAUGCA